CCAGCUCCAAUAGCGUAUAUUAAAGUUGUUGCAGUUAAAAAGCUCGUAGUUGAAUUUCUGAUAUACUCAUUGUGUCCGCUUCGGUGUGAUGCAGUGGGUGUAUCAUCCUUGUGGGGACGGCAUGUUCGCAUGUCUACCCGCAUUCUUUACUGUGAGAAAAUUAGAGUGUUUAAAGCAGGCUUCAGGCUUGAAUACAUUAGCAUGGGAUAAUAAGAUAGGACUUCGGUGCUAUUUUGUUGGUUGCGUACCGAGGUAAUGAUUAAUAGGGACAGUUGGGGGUAUUCAUAUUUAGCUGUCAGAGGUGAAAUUCUUGGAUUUGCUAAAGAUGAACAACUGCGAAAGCAUUUACCAAGGAUGUUUUCA
rnacentral:rRNA from 1 species